CCUAUCAAAGGGCUUCUUAAUUAACGUGUUCCAUUCAUCACUGCCAAUCCUCUAUUUCUGCCUCUCUGAAUUUUCAUGGCAAUUGCUACUGCUUCUUCUUUCUAAGGGGAGUGGGCGUUGGUAGUAGCAUACAAGCUCAAGUAACUGGUAAAUUAGGAUUAUACUCUUCAACAAGAAUUUAGCUAUGGGCACCACAAAGUGUAUUACUCCUUACAUGGACAUGUAGAGAUUGUGGCAUGAGAAAUCCAGCAAAUGGCUAAUGCAGUUCAGGGUGUUGAGGCAACACUAGAGGGGAAUUCAAACUUGUGAACAAGAGGAAGCAGUCUCAAAAUUCUUGCGCGCUGUGUGCGCGAGUGAAGGUGGCAGAGGUUGAUGAUUAUACACAUAAGAUGCUUAACAAAUUUCACCUGGUGGCAUGGAGAAGGUACCUGACCAACUCGAUACUGCACAAGGCGAGGGCCAAUCCUAAAGCAGAUGACGUACCCGUUAUUCUUCCAGAACAACUUUUGGAGGCUGAUGGUUUCUCCUUGGUUUUCCUUCUCUUUUUGGUGUGAUGGCAUCCUAAUUCAAAGCCUUCUUUGAUGCAACCCAUGAGAUAUUGGAAACCCAAGCUCUUGCUGGGAAACCUGCUGGAAUCUUCUGGACUACUGGUUUCUAUGGAGGAGGCCAGGAACUUACUGCCCAUAACGCAGCUAACACAUCAUGAUGGUAUGCUAUUUUUUCCUCUGAGUUACACCUUCGGCAGUGGCAUGUUUGAGAUGAAUGAAGUGAAAGGUGGAUCUUCUUAUGGUGCUGGAACUUUUGCAGCAGAUGGGAGCCGUCAACCCACUGAAUUAGAACUCCAACAGGCCUUUUGCUAAGGAAACUACGUUGCUGAAAUAACGAAGAAGCUUAAAAGUUGUGAAAACUGAAACGUCUUCAAAAUGUUGUAAAAACUGAUCAAUGAUCUAAGAUCAUUUCACUGAAGUUUAAUGGAAGAAGAUGCUUGAUGCUAAAGAGAAGUA